UUCUUGAUAUUUAGUCGCCAUCUACUUUCUUGUAAUCUGAAGCCAUUGGUUCAAGUCUGACCUUUCAGAGCAGGAGAAAACAAGCUUGCUCCCUCUUCCAGGUGACAGCCCUUGAGAUAUUUGAAGAUGGCUAUCCUAUCUCCUCUCAAGUCUCCUCUUUUCCUGGCUAAACAUACCCAGCUCCUUCAACCA